rnacentral:piRNA from 1 species
GGCUGUGAAAAGAGUUGGGUACCCUGA